AUACGGAGGGUCCAAGCGUUAUCCGGAAUCAUUGGGUUUAAAGGGUCCGCAGGCGGUCAAUUAAGUCAGAGGUGAAAGCCCAUCGCUCAACGAUGGAACUGCCUUUGAUACUGGUUGACUUGAGUUAUACGGAAGUAGAUAGAAUAAGUAGUGUAGCGGUGAAAUGCAUAGAUAUUACUUAGAAUACCGAUUGCGAAGGCAGUCUACUACGUAUAUACUGACGCUGAGGGGCGAAAGCGUGGGGAGCGAACAGGAUGAGAAACCCGAGUAGUCC
rnacentral:rRNA from 1 species